rnacentral:misc_RNA from 1 species
CAGAGUUGCAAGACUCCCUAAACCAUUGUGAACCUACCUUCUACCGUUGCUUCGGCGGGCGGGCCCAGCGCCCCCCCGGCCCCCCGCGGGCGCCCGCCGGAGGGAUACCCAAACUCUUGACAUUAGUGGCCUCUUCUGAGUAUUCUUUACUGAAUAAGUCA